CCGAAGAAAGGUUUUAAGAUGUUCGCCUCGUUAUACAUUCACAGAUAUGAAGGUCUCUGCACAGCCCUGGAGUUUCCUGACACAUGGCAGUGUGAGAACCUGAGAGACGAAAAUCAGCUUCAGAAGCUUCCAACCCACCUGCUGCCAGCAUUGAGCAAGCUCUGCUGCGGUGAUUCAUCCCAGAG